ACGGCUCAGUAACACGUAGCUAACAUACCCUUAAGUCAAGGAUAACCUCGGGAAACUGAGGAUAAUACUUGAUAGAAGUUAAACCCUGGAACGAUUUAACUUUCAAACUCGUGCUUAAGGAUGGGGCUGCGGCGGAUUAGGUAGUUGGCGGGGUAAUAGCCCACCAAGCCAAUGAUCCGUAAGGGCUCUUAGCGGAGAAGCCCUGAGAGGGAAUCUGAGAUACUAUUCCCAGCCCUACGGGGUGCAGCAGGUAGGAAUCUUUUGCAAUGCGCGCAAGCGUGACAAAGCGAGCCAGAGUGCUUUUCAAUUGAAAAGCUUUUGCCAAAUCUAAAAAUUUUGGCGAAUAAGGACUGGGUAAGACUAGUGCCAGCCGCCGCGGUAAUACUAGCGGUCCAAGUCGCAGCCAUCAUUAUUGGGUCUAAAAUAUCCGUAGCUUGCUUAAUAAGUUCCCUGUGAAAUCCUAUCUCUUAAGGAUAGGGCGUGCAGGGAAUACUGCUAAGCUAGAGACUGGAAGACGUAGAAAGUAUGUUCCAAGUAGCGGUAAAAUGUGUUAAUCUGGAGCAGACUCACAAUAGCGAAGGCAUUCUACGAGGACAGUUCUGACAGUAAAGGAUGAAGGCUAGGGGCACAAAAUGGAUUAGAUACCCAUGUAGUCCUAGCAGUAAACACUGCAUACUAAACAUUAGUACCUCUUCGAGAGGUAUUAGUGCUGUAGGGAAGCCGAAGAGUAUGCUACCUGGGAAGUAUAGCCGCAAGGCCGAAACUUAAAGGAAUUGGCGGGGGAG
rnacentral:rRNA from 1 species